AAUAAAAAAAAAAAAAACCCUAAACUACUCUCUGAUUUCUAACUCGAUCUUUCACCUUCUCUCUCACUCUCUCCCUUUGACUCCCAAACCCUCACCUUCAACCCACCCCUCUCUACCACCGAUCCUCCUUAUUGGCACACAAGCACUCUUCUUCGUCUCUGUUCACCUUCUCUCUCACUCUCUCCCUUUGACUCCUAAACCCUCACCUUCAACCCACCCUUCUUUACCACCGAUCCUCCUCACUGGCACACAAGCACUCUUCUUCGUCUCUGUUCUCCUCGCCCUUCUCUUCUUCUUCUUCUUCGAAAAUCCCCGAGCUUGAUAAGUCCAAGAAACCGCUCCCCCAACCCACUAAGCUGCCCAAAAAGUAUGAGAUUGUUGCUCGGUUGUUGCGGUUGAAGGGUUCCUCAUCCUCUGUUACCAACAUUUGACCCAAAAUUGAGUGUUUAACUGAUAGUAUGCACAUGCACACAAACAGAGAUAGAGAUCUUGUGGUUCACUGCUGUUGUUUCCACAGUCAAAUUGUUGAGAGGAAAUCCGAGCAAAGGCUUAACAUUGCCUUGAUGCACAUCCAUAAAAUAUAUGAACUCUUCCUCUUAUUGUGUGUGAGUUUCACAGCUAUAAAACACGUGUAAAAAGGAGGUUACAUGUAUGAUGCAUGGAAGAGUUGUGAGACAGAUCACACAUGCAUAUUCAUGAGACAAUUAUUGACAGAUAUGGUACUUGAAGUUGAAGCCUUUAGGGGUUUUUUAUACUAAAUUUUUUGCAUGGGUAGUUCAAAGAGAAGGGUAAAGGGUAAAUGGGUUUCUUCAAUAUUGUGAAGUAUGAGUGGAAUUUCAUGCAUGACUCACCCACACUAAUCUUUUACAGAGAAAGUAUAGGUGAGCCUCACCUAUACUCUCUGUAAAGGGGUAUUCUUUCUUUGAAGAAAAUGAAUAAGUUUUUGAAUGAAAACAGCCUCUUUCCUCGGGUGACCAAUUCAUUUCUACAAGUCAAAUUGAAUUUGUUUAUGCUUUAUUUAACUACUCAAUCUUAGUGAUUAGAUCUCCUGAGCAGGAAAUUGGAUCGAAAGAAACUCAUGUUAGAAUACUGAGUAAAAUGAUCAAAUUCACUAUUUCUUAGUAGUUUUUAAGCUUUUAGUAUAAAUGAUAAUUUAUCAUGAUAUUAAAAAAAAUGGUCUUGAACUAUUAAUUUCACGUUUCCUAACAGGUUAAGCUAGUAAUUUAUUAACUGAAAAUUAUGAAUAAUGUUUCAAAUUGAUAUGAUAAUGAUUAACUACACUAUUUGUUAAUAGUUUAAUUUUUUUUGAUAUAAAUCGUAAUAUAUCAUGAUAUCAAAACAAGUGAUCUUAACUCUUAAAUAAUUAAAUCCACGGUUUCUUGACAUGUUAAGCUAGCAAUUUAUUAGCUAAAACUAUGAAUAAUGUUUGAAACUGAUAUGUACAUCUAUAGUAUUAACAAGAAAAGUACCUGGAGCUAUAUAGCUGUAAGAUCCUGCCAUUGCAGGCAUGCACUUUAAUGUUCCUGUAUCUUGUAAGAACUUGGCAAGUCCAAAAUCUGCUACAUAAGCCUCGAAAUCAGAGUUAAGUAAAAUGUUAUUGGACUUGACAUCACUUCCAUUCUACAUCUUAGUGCUUUAUAUCAAAUAGAAUGCUUGAUGUAUAUAUAUAAAAUUCUAAUUUUUGUUUUUGAACUCACCAUCUUUGUGGAGGCUGCCAAACUUUGCUGUGAGGAUUAAGAUUUUCUGUUCAGUGUCAUUACUCUUAUUCACACUUUAUUCUUUCAAUGAUUUCUAUUAACUUAUAAGAUGCUAUACAAAAGACCAUUUCAUGAAUUCCCAUACACAUUCUUCUAUCUUCCAGUUAAAAAUUUAGCAUUCAGUCAAGACCUUCAAGUUCAUGCCUGUAUAACAUGUGGGGACUGCUUCCUAGUUUUUGGUGUCAGCCAUGGUUUUGUUAAAGGGAGAUUGGUUUGUGAUAAUUUGUUGUAAGCAUGACUUGAUUCAAAAAAUUAGAUAGACUAAUAAGGUGAAAACUGGAAACUUGGUUUGUAGCUUUUAAAGUUGAUAUGAAUAGAGCUAAUGAUUGACUUACCUAGGACUUCAUUUUGGUUGUGCUAGGAAAAUUGAAUUGUAGUUGUCAUUAAAUCAACUUGAUUUAGCAGUGCAUCUGUACAGUUUCUUUUCAAAUUCCAUUGAAUGGUUCACUGGUUAAAAUUAUUUUCCCUCAAUGUGGCUUAAGGUAAAGGGUCCACUUUCACCUUUAUCCUUUGUCUCUAGCCUUAUUGGAGUGAGAAUUUCGAGGUAUUAUUAAAGGAGUAUGGAUUGCAAGAAAUCUGAACCCAAUUUCUCAUCUCAUGUUUGCAAAUGAUUGCAUUGUUUUUGUGAGGCACUAAUGAUACGCAAGAAAAUGUUUUGAAAAGUUAGUGGUAUUGUGACCUUUCUAGAGAGAUUGUAAUUUUGAUAAAUCUGAGGUGUUUUUUAGUCCUAACACUCCUGAGCAGGGUAUAAACCCUAUGUUAGCUCUUUUUAAGGUGAAAAAAGGUGAUGGACUUGGUAAGUAUUUGGGUCUAACUUAGAUACGAGUCAGAAAAAGACAUCAUUUUUUUUUUUUUUUUUCAUUUUUUUCUUUAUAUAGACUUGUUAUUGAUCAUACAUUAGAUUUGAACCUAUAAUGUUUGAUAUGGCACUAUUCUAUAAAUUCUUAUUAUUGUUGAUUGAUUACUUUAGUUAAGUGGCUUUAUCUCUAGGAUAAGUAGCUUAUCUAGGUCGUGGUCGCUACUAUCUAUUAUACUGAGGUGAUAGUGGAUUACGUAGCAUGUAUACAUGAAAUUGUUUAUCUUCAUUUCAAAUUUUCUUUAAUAUAGCUUGUUCUUCAAUUUCAGAUAUGAAUUGCUAAAUGAAAGAACAAUUGAGUAAAUGUCUCCCUCUUUUGUUUUUGCUUUUGUUUAUUGGGUGAAAGUAAGUGAGUUUCUUUGGAAGGUAGGUCUUGUAGUUUGGCAAUUGGAGUUGCAUUUGUAUUUUGCUGCAGGUCUUCAGUAUAUUAUGCUAUUUUUGCAAUCUCUUGUCCACAUUUCUCCAAUCUGGUUAGGGGCCUAAUUGAUUUGUGGACCUAACAUUUAAUAUUCUCUGCAAAAGUACUUAUCCAUUGUGAUUGAGCUGCGUUUUAUUGUUUAUUGGUGGAAUGCUUGUGAUUAUAAAGUGAAAUUUUAAGAAAAUUUAAUAGUACAAUAAAGGACAGCAAUGAAAGAGAUUUCUUGAUUGAAUUUUGAGCCUUUCAACUUUAUACAUCCUAGAAAAGGUAAAAGCUAGGACGCUGAGAAUUUAAGUAUAUGGGAAAUUGGAGUAUAAAGUUUGUGGGGAUGUCCAUUGUGAAUAAAUUUGUAUUGGGAAAAGUGCUUAUGAAAUUUAAACAAGAAAAACAGUCCAAUCUAGGAUUGGAGAAAGAUAUAUGUUUUCUAAAAUUAUAAAUCAUGAUAAUUAAUCCCUUGCAUCCACCAGAGUCAUGUCAUUGACUAUGUGGAGGCUAUUUUUUAGGUCAUUGUGGGAGAAGUUGAGCAAGAUUGAUGAGGUUGAGAGUAAUAUUUCUGAUAAUAUUUCUUGAGUAAUAUCAACGCAAUUAGUUGGCCUAAGUCAUUAUAAUGGUGCUGACUUAUGGUCAUGGAAAAUAGCCUGCAAUAAAAUUAGUGCUUUGGGAAAUUUAUAUUAAGCCCUUUUAGAUAAUUUGGAAGAAUUUAUUGAAGAGAAUGUAACAUAGUAUUUCUGGUACUUUGCAUUCAAUGCAUCAAGCUUCUUUAAGUAAAAAUCUUUUGUUGGGAACU